GUGUCAGCAGCCGCGGUAAUACGUAGGGGGCAAGCGUUGUCCGGAUUUAUUGGGCGUAAAGAGCGUGUAGGCGGUUAGAUAGGUCUGCUGUGAAAACUCCAGGCUCAACCUGGAGACGUCGGUGGAAACCAUCUGGCUAGAGUCCGGAAGAGGAGAGUGGAAUUCCUGGUGUAGCGGUGAAAUGCGCAGAUAUCAGGAAGAACACCCGUGGCGAAGGCGGCUCUCUGGGACGGUACUGACGCUGAGACGCGAAAGCGUGGGGAGCGAACAGGAUUAGAUACCCCUGUAGUCC
rnacentral:rRNA from 1 species